CAGCAGUGGGGAAUAUUGCACAAUGGGGGAAACCCUGAUGCAGCCAUGCCGCGUGUGUGAAGAAGGACCUUCGGGGUUGUAAAGCACUUUCAGUAGGGAGGAAGGUAGUGUAGUUAACACCUGCAUUAUUUGACGUUACCUACAGAAGAAGCACCGGCUAACUCCGUGCCAGCAGCCGCGGUAAUACGGAGGGUGCGAGCGUUAAUCGGAAUUACUGGGCGUAAAGCGCAUGCAGGCGGCCUGUUAAGUCAGAUGUGAAAGCCCGGGGCUUAACCUCGGAAUUGCAUUUGAAACUGGCAGGCUAGAGUCUUGUAGAGGGGGGUAGGAAUUUCAGGUGUAGCGGUGAAAUGCGUAGAGAUCUGAAGGAAUACCAGUGGCGAAGGCGGCCCCCUGGACAAAGACUGACGCUCAGAUGCGAAAGCGUGGGGAGCAAACAGGAUUAGAUACCCUGGUAG
rnacentral:rRNA from 1 species